AUGCGUGAUUAAGUUGGGCGACCUCUGUUGCAUCUGAUGGUUUUAUCCAAAGAAUAUUGCAAGUCCUUGCGUUUGGCUCUUAGCAUUUGCAAAGAAUGUAUCAAAUCCUUGUAUAUAAUUUUUUGAAAUCCAAAAAGGUAUAAAGUCGUUGUAUAUACGUUAAUAAUCGUUGCAUUGAAAAUCUAAAGGCAAGGACUUCCAGUUAAUUCCUUGCCCAACCCUUCACUAUUAACUCCUCUGGUCUAUCACUUGGCUAUUGGAGAAAAUCUCUCUCUUACUCUAGGAUGAAGAAGACCCGAUCCCUGAAUACCCCAACCGCUGAAGCUAAUUUCUCGAUUUCAUGCCUCGUCGUUGUCAUCGCCACCUUCAUCCGGUCUUUUGCUCCCGCAAACUUUUAAGAGACGAUGAAAAAGAACCCAAUACACAAAAGGCCUUCACCUUUUCGCUCCCAUUUCUUUGUUUUUUCAGUAAAAUAUUGGUGGAUGGGAAGGUGGUCAACAAAGCCUAUACUCCAGUAUCUGAUAAAUCUAUUGUAAAGAAUAUGGCUGAAGUCCCCAAAUAUGUAUCUAGGUGAUUCACUUUAACAAACCAAUCUACACUUCAUUAUAUGAGAAUCAUUUUAUGCUCGAACUUUGGUAAGACCUGUUAUGCUAAUUUGUUCCUCUGUUUUGUAUAUCCAGAGCAGGACAUAAGUUAGAAGCUGCCAUGCAUUGAAUAUCUAGGUAUCGAUAUUAUUGGCAAAGUAGCUCUUGAUUCAGGGUUGUCAACUGGUGGAUUUACCGAUUGUUUACUUCAAUAUGGUGCAUCGUUUGUUUAUAGAGUUGAUGUUGGAUAUGGCCAAGUAACAACCCCUAUAUAGUAGUAAAUGAUGUGAUUCCAAGUAUUUUAUACUUUCCUAAAUCCAAAGAAAAACUAUCUUAUGUGUGAGUAUACCGAUUCUUUUCUAUUCUUGUUCAAUCAUGAGUUAUGAUAUGGUGUAUUAGAAAGUGUCUCUCUUUCUAGUUUUGCAUUCAUAACUUAAAUAUUACAUGUAAUUCAUUCUGUGGUUGAUGAUUGUGAUAUCAAUUUCUUACCUGUGUGCUGCCUUGAAUCUGUUUUAAUGAGAAGAAGGAGUCAUGGAGUUGUAGAAAUUGAUUUCAAUCGUCUUCAUUUUUACCCUUUGUUGAAUGCACAUUUGUCCAUAUUAGUCUAGUUUCUCUCUAAGUCUAGCUCCGUUUGCACUUGUUACUUACAGUGCAUACAACACUAGCUUUUCCAUACAUUGGCAGUAUGCAAGCUACUCCUGGGGCUUAUGUUGGAGCAUAUGUGGUAGAAAUUUUGGAUUGCAAAUUCCAAUCUAAGAUUGACUCUUAAACAUCUCAUUCUUGCCAGCUUGCUUUGCCUCGUUUUGAAAAGGUUGUCGGUGCUUCUAUUUUUGUUGGGACUUGGUAUAUUUGUUUGUUCUUUUGCUUAAGAUUACAUCAGUAAAACACAUACAGUAUUUUUCAUCUUAUAUUAGUAAAUGACUCUUAGUCCAGGCUUGCUUUGAUUUUGCUAAUCUUGUUAUAGAUUAGAGUUUACUCAAAUUUUGAUGUACAAACGAACUACUUGUAUUUAAUUAGAUCGAGAAAUAAAAAAAAUCUGGAAUGA